AAACACAGAUACAAAUAUAAAAAAGAACUUGGCAAAGACUAACUUCACCGAGAAUCACCUGACUUAACCUCACCACCCACGUGGCCCAUUUGUCUGGGAGUAACUCAUGUAAUCCCUGUGGCUUAGAUAGCGGAUCAGGAUGUCGACAAGUAUUAACAAUUUGGACUGAAAACUAGAUUAAAGAUGUUUGGAUAAACUAAAAUAAACUGGGAAACUGGAAGUAGUCAAACAAUCAGGACAUCUUUAGAGAGUAUCACUUGCUCAGACCUGAACAUGACUUACAGUGCGUCUCCACAAGCAUCGAUACACACACCGUUAAUGUGGGACCACACCAAGCUAUAGUCAAAUCGUAUAUUUUGAUUAUAACUAACAGCUGUUAACUCUCCUGCAGCAGUAUCACACUUGUAUUGAGUUACCACUAAUGCAAACCAAACAUUUCCUCCUGCUGCUGCUUCACAUUAGUCAGCUAACAUAAUGAUAAGAGCAUCUAGGGCCCGAACUUGUUUCGUUAAGAACAUUUGUUUGGACGCCCCACAGACUGUAUAUGAAGGGGGACGACAUGAAAGCCCCCCCCAAAGUGACGCCAAAUCAUCGUCAUCGCCCUCUGGUGGCCGGAUUUAGUAAAGGUCAUGAAACCUACCUCCGUGUGAGUGGAUGGGAUACGAGCCAAAAGUCUAAUCUUGACACUUGAGGGCAAACAGCUGCAGCCUGACCUUCUUCUUGACGAGGGACAUGACGCCGAUUCGCGUGAGGACCGGCUGGCGACACAGGCCCUCCCUCGGGACGCCGUCUGCGAACGUCUCCGCGCCGUCAGCCACCGGCUCGCACAGAUUUGCCCCUGAGGUCUCUCACCAACCACUGGGAGGAAAAGGCGUCCUGAGACGGCAUCCCCCAGCGCAUCACUGCGUUCAGGAAGGCCUUCCGCUGGCGUGUGUUAAAGCCCAGCACCUAUCAAGGG